CGCAGCACCCCACCUUCCUCUGUGCCUCCUCCCCGGCCGCUCCCUUCCCUUCCUCUCCGUCUCCCAUCCCUUCCCCUUCCUCUCCUCCUCCUCCCGGCCCACGGCGGCCGGAGCUGCCCCUCCCCAGUCCUCUCCCUUCCCGCCGUCCUAAGCUCGGUGUCCACCAGAUCCGGCCGCCACGAGCUCGGGGGCCACCGGAUCCGCCGUCCUGAGCUCGGGGGCGACCAGAUCCGGCAGCCACGAGCUCCUAGGUGGCCAUAUCCGCCCCUCAACACCGUUGCAAUCUACCACCUCCGUGUUCCUGCCGUACUCCGUCUCUGCGCUCCAAAGGUAAUAUCAAGAUGAAGUAGGCUUUAGUUCAAGCUGCUCCUGCACGGGCACUUCUCUAGUUGGUAAAGAAAAUCUAGUCAGUUAAUCAUUCAUAUGUAUGCAGACUAAAUAGUAGUAGUAGUUAGCAGGAAUUAUUUUGCGUCGGGGCAUGAGAUGAAUUACCAGGUAAAGUUGUUUAUCGUCUGUAACUGGCUGCACAAAUGCAACCACACGUUUAAGUCAGGUUAGUGUUGAGCACAAGGUUUUCAUUUUUCUUUAUUGGUUGGCCCAACUAUUUAAGUUGGGCAAACUGGUUCGUUUGCUUAACCAUAUAGCAAUUGUUUUGAUCAUUGAAGUCAAAUGUCGUCACUGAACAUAAUAAUGCUAGAAAGAAAUAAAUUCUUGAUUCUGAAUUACAUUAGUUUUUUCAUACAAGUAUAGCACCUGUGACUAUUUUUAGCUUACAAGUAUAGCAACUCUUCCAUGCAUUUUAUACAGAUUGCCGGAGUAAAAUAUAUGAACACAAGAGAAUUUUUUCAUCGUGAGACAAAAGGUGAUUAUUCCUAGCGUGAAGUAUUCAUUUCACAUCUAAAUAAUAUUUUAUUGUUUCAGCGUUCUAAGACAAUAUUAUAUGUCAGCAGGACCAACUAAUUUUCCUCUCUCGAGCCAUUUUGUGAAGACCUGAUGCAGUGGCAACACAGGUACUCCCACAGCAGGGGUCCUCGCUACUCAAAAAGAUUCUGGUUUAUAUUUAAAAUGUCAUGAGAAAAUAUCAUUAAUUUCACUACCUUAAUGUCAUGAGACUGCUUGUAUCGACAAUGCAUCCUUGAUGCAUCAUUCACCUUCUGCUAUUACCUAAAUAUAUUCCUCAUUUACUGCAUUCAAAGUCUAACUCUUUUGAAGAGACCAUAUGGAAUGAUAACUCUAAGCAUUGAUCUUUUUAUUCUCCUUUUAUAUUUAAUAGGUUGACAUGCUUGUAUAUACAGCAUAUAUACAGUUCAUUAUUAUGCAUGUCUAAGCCCUUGCAUGUCUUUUUGCUUGCAGCUUAAAAAAUAGAGAAGUAUCAUAGUGAUUGAAAGGUACAGAUCGAUCAGAAUGUUUGUACAAUGUUUGCUGGAUGAUUUUAUCUUGAAAGAUAAAAUAUGAAUAUUUGUAAAUGUAUGUGUAAUGUGUACCAUUAAAUUGUAACAUGGACUAGAAAAUAGUUGGGAGACUUGGACUUGCUAUUUUCUUGCUAUAGGGUUGUAAACAGUAUUGACACAGUUGAAACUUGAUGUAUAUCUCAUUGAAGUUGAUGUCUCUGUGCACAAAUUGUACUGUGGAUGUUUGAUUGCUAUAGCAAAUUGGUGUAAAUAAAGAGCUUUCUGUUUUUAUUGUUAUUAAUUUUUUUUUCUAUAGAAAGCCAAUUUUUCUGACGGGGCACACUACAGGAAAAGUAAAUGUGACGGUUAUUUCUGUCGGUUGAAUAUAAAAAAUAUCCUCUCUCAAACCUGAGGCCAGGGCAAUUUUUCUGUGAGCCACCCACAGAAAAUAGCCGUCAGAAAAUAUUUUUCUGUAGGGAAACCGACAGAAAAACUGAAUUUCUCCGUGGUGAUUUUUCUGUCGGUAAUUUCUGACGGUUCACCCACAGGAAUUUAUUUUCUGACGGUAAAAUCUAUUUUCCUGACGGUUUCGCUCCUACAGGCUAGGUCCUAAG
rnacentral:lncRNA from 1 species